rnacentral:rRNA from 1 species
UACGUAGGUGGCAAGCGUUGUCCGGAUUUAUUGGGCGUAAAGAGCGUGUAGGCGGCUUUACAGGUCCGUUGUGAAAACUCGAGGCUCAACCUCGAGACGCCGGUGGAAACCGUAAAGCUAGAGUCCGGAAGAGGAGAGUGGAAUUCCUGGUGUAGCGGUGAAAUGCGCAGAUAUCAGGAGGAACACCCGUGGCGAAAGCGGCUCUCUGGGACGGUACUGACGCUGAGACGCGAAAGCGUGGGGAGCAAACAGG